CUUCCUGUACAACAUGUUGUUUACCUCCCCUGAGCUGCACCAUACACACACACAUACGCCAUCAGUCCAGUCUGUAUCGGUUCAGUUUGGUAGACGACAUCAGUUCCAUGGUAUGAAGCAAAUGCAGAUGCAAAGCUUACCGGUCGUGCUGCUCCAGGCAUCGUCCACCGUCAGCAGCGCCAUCCGGAUCAAACAUCCCGCCACGCAUAUCCUGCAACCAGUUCGUGGCACCUUUUCUCAGAGGCAAGAAUGUAUAUAUACCAACUCUGAUCGCAAUACUAGAAUUCCCUUCUUGGUACAGAACUAUCAAGAAUCAAUCUUGAAUUCUCGCACGAGGUGGCAAACGAAAGGUGUAUAAUUGUCAAACUAAAUAGGCCUGACAGUGUUCCAUUUUCUACAUACCCAGCAACAACGGUUCAGUUAGUACCAAAGGUUCAGCAACAAGUUGACUACCUUGGUGAGGACGGUCUCCUCCAGAUCGGAGUCCGAGAGCCCAACAGCAACACAGAAGACCGGAACAGAGUCCGAGAGCCCUUCAUGUGCGCGCGCCGUCAGUCUCCUACUCCUUGAUCUCCCUGAGCUUCCCUUCCUCAAGAACUACUGACUAUCCUGGGUGCACUCUGCACCAGCCAGCCAGAGUUUAUCCAUGCACCAUAUCUGCGGGCCAUGCAUGGAGCAAACGAUCUUUAGCUCACCAUGCUGCAACCUUGCUUCCCAGAACUCUGACAAGGGUUCCACAUCACAAAGUAUUAGAAACUAGUCACAGAAAUUGGAAUCUGUAAAGUAAAUGAAAGAACAAAACAGGAAUUGGAAAGGAGAGAUUGCAGAUAUAAGUGCCACUGUUCGUUCAUACUAGGAAUGAUUGAUAGAAUGCCUAGGCCAUUAGCAGACAUGAAUUUUAGCACCAAAAAAAAAAGAAAACAAAUCAAUUCAGCCCACAAUUUCAAGAAUUACAAAAUAAAGUACUGUAAUCAACACCUAGACAUUAAUAUCAUCACCAUCCAUACAAACCAACAGACCAAUCAACAUUUUGCACAAUGUUUCUAAUACUUCCACCUUUUGGUUGGACUAGCUGCCAAACCAUUGGCAACCAUCUAACAAUGUGUAUCACCGAGCUCCAGAUUCUAACAUUUGUGGUUCUGUAAUGGAUCCUCUUCUAAUAUACAUUCAAAUAGUACAAACUAGAGAGAGAGCAGAAAGCAUGCUUACAGAGAUAUUAUUUGUAGUACAGAGGCAGAGGCAAGCAGUGGGAACAGAUACAUGGUAC
rnacentral:lncRNA from 1 species